GGUCGGUCGCUAAAAUGAAAUGUCGUAACGACUCUCGGCAACGGAUAUCUCGGCUCUCGCAUCGAUGAAGAACGUAGCGAAAUGCGAUACUUGGUGUGAAUUGCAGAAUCCCGUGAACCAUCGAGUCUUUGAACGCAAGUUGCGCCCGAAGCCGUUAGGCCG
rnacentral:rRNA from 1 species